rnacentral:lncRNA from 1 species
AAAUAUAUAAUAAUAGGUUAUUAUUGCAUAGAUGUUCAACUUCCAUUACACAUUCAAAAUCCAGAAAACACAACAAUCAAAAAAGCAACAAACCAAAACAAACAAACUACUUAGUAGGUGUAACACCCUUCUAAAUACCCCAAAUUAUUUAAUUAAAAUAACAACAUAUAAAUCAGAGUAAUUAUGCCCCGAAGGGUGUCACACAAUCAUUUCACUACAUUCAUCAAAAUAUCCUGUCAUGCUCAUUUAUUUAAUCAGAAUAAGAUUCUUUGCAUAAUCCGCAGCGGAAUAAAAUCCAACAUCAAUGUAAAACAUGUAACACAAUACAUGUAAAUCAUCAACCACAAUAUAAAAUUAAUUAAAACAUCCCUCCCGAUGUUACAUCUAUCAGAGCAUGACCACUAAGGACAAACAGGUAACCAUAGCAUAGUCUACUACUCACUGUCGUUACCUGAAAAAAUAGAUGUAAGGGGGAGUUUCUCAAUCAAUAUAAUAAGCAUUAUACAACAUUAUGUAUGUUAAGUAAUACGCAUUUGUCACCCUAACCAGACUACUCACUCAACAGACGCAGUACCAACUCAACAUCAUAACCAACUAUAUAUCUAUGCAUAAUCCAAACCAUACUCAAUCAUCAACAACACAACACAUAAUAACCAUAUAAUACUGGAUACACCUCAUUAUUAUAUGCCAUACAUUCAUUAUGCAAUGAGACUCAACAUAUGCGGUACCGACUAUUCUGACAUACAGUUCAAGCUCACCGAUCAACUCCAGAUACGGCUUCUAAACGCUCACUAUCAUCUUUGAGACUAAUGACUCACUCACUAAUUCCUCACCAUGGGAAUUAGCUAAGCCCAAAGGCUAGACUAUGCACACUAAUAUCUAUGCAAACAUCAACAACAAUUCCAUAACAAUUCACUCACUAAUUCCUCACCAUGGAAUUAGCUACAGCCCCACAGGCUAUGCCAUGCAUGCUAAUCAUCUAGCAAAUGCAGCAUCAACAACAAUCACCAUGGACCUGUGCCACCACUAAGCCAUACAACAGUCCAUUCACAAUUACACAUGCAUAAAUAUCAUACAUCACAACAACGCACUAUCAUAUUACAUCAAAUCAAAUAUUCACUAAGCAUAUCAGAUCAUGCCAACCAACAACCAAAGUAUACGACCUCUACUAAUACCUAUACUACCAAAGGCCACGGGAAAUGAUCCCUAAUAUGUAAUACAUUCAGCUGAAUUGCAACACUCAGCCUAAACAACCAAAAACUGCCACACAACAGCAACAGAAAUUCACAAUUCUGCCCAUACCGUAUUUGCCUAUGACCUAACGCGUAAUUGCCCACGCCUGACCAAUUCCCUUACGCUAAUGCCCGCCCAUACGCCGAUGCUACGCGUCUCAAUUCCCAUACGCGUACCAACAAAGAGGACCGAAAACACUCAAAACAUCAUCUUCUCAUCCAUAGCGGCUGAGUUGCCAGGGGGGGGGGGGGGGGAGUGUGCCGGAGUAGCGGCGACGAGCCGCUCGGAGAGGACCGCGGUAUUGCCUAGUGCCAUACGCGUAUGACCAGAAACCAGAACUCUCAGAUCUGCAAUGGCUUUCUCUGCUACGAGAUCUACUCAAACCAACCCUCCACAGUCCAAUUUCUACACAGAAAUCAUUCAUAUUUUCAACACAAUUCGUAUCUUAUUCAAUUACACAAAAUUUGACACUUUUACAUCUAAUUCCUACGAAUUCUUUCUCAAUUAUACCCCAAUUUCGUUCAUCCAAAGAGUUCACAAAUUCAUCAUGCAUCAAUCUAAUCAGAGGUAAAACAAUGGUUAUCACUACCCACUACAUAUUAUCACAUAAUGCCCUUUAACCGAUGAUAAACCCCCUUACCUGGGUUAAUCCAGCAAUCUCUGAUCUCCAAGCUUUUCCUCUUCUCUUGCUCUGCCUUUUUGCCCUUUUUCCACUUUCAACCGCUUCUCUGUGUUCUCCUUUUCACGUGCAACCCUUUUUACCAAAAAUGGGACUUUUUAUUAUUCCAACUUAUUUUAUUCCAAAUAAAUAAUUAUCCCAAUAAUUAUUAUUCCAAAAUAAUAAUAAUAAUAAUUCAUUUAUCUAAUUAAAUUAAUAAACAUAUUAUUAACUUAAUUUAAAUAAUUAUUAUAUUAUUAUCGGGGUGUUACAACUCUCCCCCACUAAAAGAGUUUUCGUCCUCGAAAACAUACCUCAAGCGAACAACUCCGGAUAAGACUCCUUCAUCUGACUCUCAAGUUCCCAAGUCACAUUGCCACCUGCUGGUCCUCCCCAAGCUACCUUCACCAAGGCGAUCUCUUUACCCCGCAAUUGCUUCAACUCUCGAUCCUCGAUUCUCAUAGGUGAUGUUUCAACAGUCAGGUUAUCUCUCACCUGUACAUCAUCUACUUGGACUACAUGUGACGGAUCAUGAAUGUACCUCCUCAACUGAGACACAUGAAAAACCUCAUGCAAAUUCGCAAGCGACGGCGGUAAAGCGAUACGAUAGGCUACCUCUCCUAUCCUCUCCAAAAUCUGAUAAGGACCAAUAAAUCGAGGUGUCAACUUCUUCGACUUCAAAGCUCGACCAACACCAGUUAUCGGAGUAACACGAAGAAACACAUGAUCUCCCUCUUGGAACUCAAGUGACUUCCUCCUCUUAUCAUGAUAACUCUUCUGACGACUCUGAGCAAUUCUCAUCUUCUCCUGAAUCAUCUUAAUCUUUUCCGUAGUUUGUUGAACAAUNNNNNNNNNNNNNNNNNNNNNNNNNNNNNNNNNNNNNNNNNNNNNNNNNNNNNNNNNNNNNNNNNNNNNNNNNNNNNNNNNNNNNNNNNNNNNNNNNNNNNNNNNNNNNNNNNNNNNNNNNNNNNNNNNNNNNNNNNNNNNNNNNNNNNNNNNNNNNNNNNNNNNNNNNNNNNNNNNNNNNNNNNNNNNNNNNNNNNNNNNNNNNNNNNNNNNNNNNNNNNNNNNNNNNNNNNNNNNNNNNNNNNNNNNNNNNNNNNNNNNNNNNNNNNNNNNNNNNNNNNNNNNNNNNNNNNNNNNNNNNNNNNNNNNNNNNNNNNNNNNNNNNNNNNNNNNNNNNNNNNNNNNNNNNNNNNNNNNNNNNNNNNNNNNNNNNNNNNNNNNNNNNCAGAUCUGCAAUGGCUUUCUCUGCUACGAGAUCUACCCAAUCCAACCUUCCACAGUCCAAUUUCUACACAGAAAUCGUUCAUAUUUUCAACACAAUUCAUAUCUUAUUCGAUUACACAAAAUCUGACACUUUUACAUCUAAUUCCUACGAAUUCUUUCUCAAUUAUACCCCAAUUUCGUUUAUCCAAAAAGUUCACAAAUUCAUCAUGCAUCAAUCUAAUCAGAGGUAAAACAAUGGUUAUCACUACCCACUACAUAUUAUCACAUAAUGCCCUUUAACCGAUGAUAAACCCCCUUACCUGGGUUAAUCCAGCAAUCUCUGAUCUCCAAGCUUUUCCUCUUCUCUUGCUCUGCCUUUUUGCCCUUUUUCCACUUUCAACCGCUUCUCUGUGUUCUCCUUUUCACGUGCAACCCUUUUUACCAAAAAUGGGACUUUUUAUUAUUCCAACUUAUUUUAUUCCAAAUAAAUAAUUAUCCCAAUAAUUAUUAUUCCAAAAUAAUAAUAAUAAUAAUUCAUUUAUCUAAUUAAAUUAAUAAACAUAUUAUUAACUUAAUUUAAAUAAUUAUUAUAUUAUUAUCGGGGUGUUACAGUAGGCAUGAUUAAAUAUAAAAAAAACCAAGUUGAACAAUCUCUGAGCAUCACUCAAUUCUCUCCGCUUUCAUCAUCAUCUGAAGAAGGUAACCUGUUCAAAUCAAAUUUUCUUAUCCCUUCUUCAUUUUCAUCAUCAGCCGCUUCAAGUGGUGCUGGUUCAUUUCUCCUAUUCCUACUAUGUGAUGGUGGAAGUGGUGAUCCAAGUGCUGCUGCGGACCCCGCUGGUUGGCUUCUCUUUUUUCCUCCACUGCCGCCGCCGGCAGAAGGCCCUUCCUCUGCUACAAGGGAGCGAUUCAAAUCAACAAUAAGUCCUCUAACAACAUGUUGCACUUCUUCAUCCACCUGAUUACCACCAUCACCUGAAAACAAUCAACCACAUAAGAAAACCCACAUUCAUAUAAAUGUUCAAUUAAUCCAACAAUCACAUAAACAUAAAAAAAUAGUUUUAUAAUAAUCUUAAAAAUACUUUCAAUUAAACAUUUAUUAUAAAAUUAUAAUCUUAAACAUACUUUCAAUUAAAUAUUUAUUAUAAAACUAUAGUUAGUAUAAAGUCAUAUAUGUAUAUGUAUAUAUAUACCCUCAGCCGCAGGCAAUUGUGGUGGUUCAAAAGUAGGUGGCGGAAAGAAACCACGGUGCAGGCGUUCAGGGUGUUUUCACAUGUGUUCAAACGCUGCCUUCCAUGUCGCAAACUGUCUUCUACAUUCUAGACAAGUUGGAGUUUCUUGAGGAGGGUUUCUAACUUGAUUACUUUUACUUUUCUUCGAGCCCUUACCACUACCACCAGCACCACCACCACUUCCCAUCACAGGCACAUUUGCACAGUCCGCAGUAACGCCGAUCACCAGAGGCAUCGCCAUCCUGGUCUCCACCGUCUUCAUUACCACCAUCACCACUUUCAUUUCCGUAUAUUUCAUCAUCACCCGCAGUUAACUCAGCCCAAACUUCCUCAGCAGUUUUCAUGAUAACAUUUUCAGAAGAACCCUCAGCCUCAGGGAUAAGGUUUGUUUCAAUGGGGGUGUUAUCAUGUUCAAAUGGAGAGUAUGGAGGGGAAACCGGGGAGAGUUGUUUGGGGUAGAAUUUGUGUUCUUGGAAGGGUCAUUUGUGAGGAUGAUGAUGUGAUGAUGAUAAUAAUACUAAAAGAUAAAAAUGAGUGAGAAUUGUGAUUGUGUGUGGAAAAUGUGAAGCGAAUGUGAAGUAUUUAUGUUGAUGAAAAAUGGAGGAUUAAGUUUACGUUACACUAAAUUCAUAAAACACAACCAUUUGUGAAACGAUGCAAACAUGCAGUAUUUGAUUUUGAUGGUGUCUUUUGGGGGGAAUUCAUAAAACGCAAUCAUUUGCGAAACGAUGCAAACAUGCAGUAUUUGAUUUUGGUGGUGUCUUUUGGGGGAAUUCAUAAAACGCAACCAUUUGCGAAACGAUGCAAACAUGCGGUAUUUAAUUUUGAUGGUGUCUUUUGGGGGGAAAGGUGGCUAUAUUCCAUGUAUACUAGAAAUCAAAUAAAUUUUUUAACUAACCAAUUUUUUAACUAAAAUUUUAAUAUACUUCACUUUAAAAAAAAGGACGUACUAAAGCAAUUGUCGCUUGUUCCUAAUUUCAAUACGGCGAGGCAAUUGCAUGAAGUGGCAUGUUUUUAUAAUGCAUAUUUUAAUUUUCUGCAGAAAUAUAUUCUUACAGAAGGAAACUUAUUACUACGAAAACUUCUGCAAAUUUUAAUAAAAUCCAUAUUUUUCAAAACAUAUAUUUUGAAUUUUCGCAGGAAAUGUCGUAGAAAAUAAUUUCGCAGAAAACUAAAGUAUCCACAAUAACUAGUUGCAAUCAAAUAACAUUACAUGAUUUUGAGUGUACACCAAUGUAACUACUUAGAUUCACAAUAGCAGAAGAAAAAUACAUUCAAUCAUUAGAAAAUUGUACUAAGUAGACAGGACCUACAAUUUCCAAUAUAUUUACAAUAACAGGGACAUUGUGUUAUUGUUAGAGGGUGAGAUACUGAAACUAAAACUUAAGCAACUUAAUAAAUCACAUGACAUCUAAAUUAAUUAAAGACAGUGCUACUAAUUCAAUCCAUGUUAUCUCAAAGCAGUACCAAAGGAAUAUAAAGUGAACAAAAAAAACUAUGUAUGAUACUUAUUCCCAACCAAACAACAUAAUACCGAAGGGUUAUCUAAACCUAACUUAUAAUUCAUCUUAAACAAGUUCAUAAGAGGUACCUGUUAUCAAAACAAAUUAAAUCCAAAAAAGGAUUCCCAUGUAACUUAUAAUUGUUGGUGCAAAGGUAGAAUAAAAGAUGAAUAUUCUAUUAAGAAUGACGGCUACAAAACAUGAUUAAAAGUUACAAUGAUUGACACCCUAUUUAUAAGCCUCUAACAAACUUAAAUAUGAAUCAAAUCUAAUAUUUAAAUCUAAUAUCUAACAAACUUAAAUAUGAAUCAAAUCUAAUAUUUAAAUCUAAUAUCUAACAAACUUAAAUAUGAAUUAAAUCUAAUAAUUAAAUCUAAUAUCAUCCCUUAAUUCAUAUUCCAUCAAAACUUGUAACACCAAUUCCAUCCCUUAAUCUGAGAAAUUGAUCAGUCUUGAUAGCUUUCGUCAGAACAUCUGCCAACUGCUUCUGAGUGCUGCAGUGUACAACUUCUAACACUCCCCUCUGAACUUGAUGUCUCAGAAAAUGAUACUUGGUCUCAAUGUGCUUGCUUCUCCCAUGCAACACUGGGUUUCUGGCAAGAUUGAUUGCAGACUUGUUGUCAAUCAUCAGCUUCAGAGGUUUGUUUACUUUAAUCUUCAGAUCCUGCAAUAGAUUCAGAAUCCACACAGCUUGGCAUGCAGUAACAGCACCUGCAAUGUAUUCAGCUUCACAAGUUGACAACGCCACAACAGGUUGCUUCUUGGAACACCAAGAAAUGGGACCUCCCAGAAAUUUGAAUAAGUACCCAGACGUACUUCUUCUGUCAACUCUGUCUCCACACCAAUCAGAAUCUGAAUAACUCAGAAGUUCUGACUCAUCCUUUCUUCCAGAAGGAAAUAAUACUCCAUACUUCAGAGUUCCCUUGAUAUACCUCAGAAUCCUGACAGCAGCUUGGUAAUGGGACCACUUAGGUUUACUCAUGAACCUACUAACCAUCCCAACUGAAUAGCAAAUAUCAGGUCUGGUAUUGCACAAAUACCUCAGAGAACCAACCAACUGUUUGAAGGUUGUAGCGUCCACAUCCUUUCCAUCAGAGUCAGAAUCCAGUUUCUGAUUUGUAUCAGAUGGUGUGACAGCAAUCUUACAAUUCUUCAGAUUAAAUCUCUUCAGAAGUUCUAAUUCAUACUUGAGCUGAUGCAAAAUAAUACCUUUCUCAGAGUAUCUGAAUUCCAUCCCUAGAAAGUAUGUCAUUUUGCCUAGAUCAGUCAUUUCGAAUUCAUUCAUCAGAACUUUCUUGAACUUGGCUAUCUCCUGUUCAGAACUUCCAGUCAGCAGUAUAUCAUCAACAUAUAAACAUACCAGAGUCAUAUUUCCUUCAGAAGUAUGCUGAACAUAGACACCGUACUCCAUCUCACAUUUCUGAAAGCCUUGCUUCUUGAAAAAUGAAUCAAUCUUCUGAUUCCAAGCUCUGGGCGCUUGUUUCAAUCCAUAUAGAGCUUUGUAUAAUCUGUACACCAUCCCUUCCUGAUUCUUUUUCACAAAUCCAGGAGGUUGUGACACGUAAACUUCUUCUUCUAAUGGACCGUUCAGAAAUGCAGAUUUUACAUCUAAAUGCAUCAGAGGCCAAUUCCUGUUAGCAGCUAUUGCAAUCACCAUUCUGAUUGUUUCAUGUCUUGCUACAGGUGCAAACACUUCAGAGUAAUCCAGCCCAGGUUUCUGUAGAAAUCCUCUGGCUACCAACCUUGCUUUAUGUUUGCCAAUUGAACCAUCUGGCUUUAACUUCUGCUUGAAAACCCAUCUGACGCUGAUGGCUUUCUUGUCUUUUGGAAGUUCUGUCAGCUUCCAAGUCUUGUUUCUCUCUAUAGCAUCAAGUUCUUCUUUCAUGGCCUUCAGCCAGAGCUUCUGCUUAAGAGCCUCUUCUGUACUUAUGGGUUCAGAGUCUACUAACAUGGCACACUGAAUAACUUCUCCUUCAGAGUCUACUUCAGUGUCUUGCAGCAUGUCAAAUUCUGCAUAUCUUCUGGGGAUGUUUCUGAUUCUUUGUGGUCUCUGAACUUGUUCAGAGUCUUGAGCUUCAGAGUUUCUAGCUUCAGAUGGUUGACUUCCUCCAGAGCUUUGACCAUCUUCAGGGGCUGGCAUAUUUCCAGAGUCUGAAUUGCCACCAGAAUCUGGAUUACCAUCAGAGUCUGGGUCAUCAGAGUCUGGAUCAUCAGAGUCUGCUUCAUCUUCUGAGUCUUCUCCAGAGUCAGAAUCACUAUCAGAAUCAGAAUCAACGUCAGAGUUUACUCCAACUUCAGAAAUUCUUAACUCUGACCUUUCUUCAGAAGUUCUAACAUCAGAAUCAGAUUGAGACUUAUCCCAAUUCCAAAAUUCUGAUUCCUUCACAAUCACAUCUCUGCUGAAUUCAAUUUUAUUGGUUUCUGGACAAUAGAGCUUGUAUGCACCUGUACUGUGGUACCCUAUCAGAAUCAUCACUUUGCUUCUAUCAUCCAGCUUCUGUCUUCUGGCUUCUGGAACAUGUUUAUAGCAAACAGAACCAAACACCUUCAGAUGACUAACACUUUGCUUAUCUCCAGUCCACUUCUGUAUUGGAACUAUUUCCUUCAACUUCUUCGUAGGACAUCGGUUGAGUACAUACGUUGCAGUGGCAACAGCUUCUCCCCAGAGCUUCUGAGGAAGCUUCUUCUCCUUUAGCAUGCUUCUCACCAUAUCAAGCAAAGUGCGGUUUCUUCUUUCAGCAAGACCAUUGUGUUGAGGGGUAUAAGGAGCAGUAACCUCAUGCUCAAUUCCAUUCUCCUCACAGAACUUCUGGAACUCUUUGGAGUUAUACUCACCUCCACCGUCAGUUCUAAGAAUCUUCAACUUCUGACCACUCUGAUUCUCAGCCUUCAUUCUGAACUUCUUGAAUUCAUCAAACACCUCGUGUUUAAACUUAAUAAGGGAUACCCAUGUCAUUCUUGUGAAUUCAUCAACAAAUAACACAAAGUAUUUAUUCCCUCCAAUCGAUGCUACUGGAAAUGGACCACACACAUCAGAAUGUACAACUCCCAAGGCAUGUUUUGCUCUUGGAGCAGUUUCUGACGCAAAUGGCAAUCGUGGUUGUUUUCCUUCCAUGCAAACUUUGCAUGACUUUUCAGGCUUCUUAAUUGCAGGAAUUCCAUGUACCAACUUCUUUGAAUUCAGAUGUUUUAAGCUUCUGAAAUUCAAAUGACCAAAUCUUCUGUGCCACAGCUCACUCUCCUUCUCAGCACUUGUUGCACUAAGACAUUCUGAGUCUGCAGUUCUGACAUUCACCUUGAAUGUUCUAUUCCUUCCCUGUUCUGACUCCAUAAUCAACUUCUGAUUGCAGUCAUACAGCUUCAGAAGAUUGUCCUUCAUGGUAACUGAAAAACCUUUCUCAAUUAAUUGUCCCACACUCAUCAGAUUGCUUCUGAUGCCAGGUACAUACCACACGUUCUGAAUCAAUGCUGUUUUCCCAUUGUUCAGAAUCACUCUGACAUUUCCCAUACCUUCUGCAUUAAGAUAUUUGUCAUCAGCACAUCUGAUCUUUGUCCUCUUUUCAGAGUCAAAGUCAACCAGCCAUUUCUUGUUUCCAGUAAGAUGAUUUGAACAGCCAGUGUCCAUAUACCACCAGUCUAUCAGAUCCAUAUCAUCAGAUUCAGAGGCCAUCAAUAGCACAGAUUCGUCAUCAGAACUUCUGGCUAUAUUUGCUUCUUCUGAUUUUCUCUCCUUGUUUGACCAACAGUCUCUAGCAAAGUGACCAAACUUCUUACAGCAGUAACAUUGGAUUUUCUUCUUGUCAUACUUCUCUUUUCCCUUCUGAGCAUUCUUUUGUCUAUCAGAGGUUGAGCUUUCUGACUUCUGACCACCAUCAGAUCUUCUCCUGGCUUCUGACUGCUUCUGAUACCUCCUAUCAGAAGUUGCUUUCAGAGCCUGCUGCUCUACUUCCCUUUCAGAAGUUCUCUCAGUCAAACGCAACUCUUGCGCUUCUAGACUGCUCUGCAGCUCUUCAAUUCUCAUGGUGCUCAGAUCUUUGGAAUGUUCUAUUGCUACCACAAUGUAAUCAAAUUGAGAGGUAAGGGAUCUCAAUACCUUCUCCAUGAUUGUUUCUUCAGAAAGAGUUUCUCCACACGCUUUCAUCUCAUUAGUGAUCAGAAUCACUCUGGAGAUGUAUUCAGAAACUUUCUCAUUAUUCUUCAUGUUGAGAUUCUCAUAUUGCUUUCUCAAGGACUGAAGCUUCACCUUCUUCACUGAUGCGUCACCACCAUAACAUCUAACCAGUGUGUCCCACGCAGCCUUUGCUGUCGUUGAAUCUGCAAUCUUCUCAAACACAUUUACAUCAACACAUUGAUGAAUGAAGAACAAUGCUUUCUGAUCCUUCUUCCUUACUUCCUUCUGCGCGUUUUUCUGUUCAUCCGUCGCAUCUGCUGCUACCGGAACAUAACCAUCAGUGACAAGAUCUAGAACAUCUUGAGCACCGAACAGUACACGCAUUUGGAUCAUCCAACGAUUCCAGUUUUUACCGUCAAAUACUGGAAGUUUGGUGUUCAUGUUGCCGUUUCCGUUCAUCUUUCUACCUUGCACAGUACACUCAGAUUUCUCACACAGUGUUUCCCAACCCACAGAAUUAAAAUUCUGAUCAGAUUUUGUUCAAGAUUCAACACGAAUCUAAGAAUCAAAAUCAAACACACAAGACCUCACGUUCACUCGUGUUUCCCGUGUUUCCCAAUGAAUCCGAACCGGAGCUCUAGAUACCAAUUGUUGGUGCAAAGGUAGAAUAAAUGAUGAAUGGAAAUAUUCUUAUUCAGAGAAUGAUGGCUACAAAAAGGAUUAAAAGUUACAAUGAUUGACACCCUAUUUAUAAGCCUCUAACAAACUUAAAUAUGAAUCAAAUCUAAUAUUUAAAUCUAAUAUCUAACAAACUUAAAUAUGAAUCAAAUCUAAUAUUUAAAUCUAAUAAUAAUUCCUUUACAUUAAACAACAAUAUAAUUAGGUUUUUUUAAUUCAAAUCCUAGUAACUAAUACCUACACAUUAAUAUCAAAACCUAUAGAAACUAAUACUAUUGAGUGUAUUUAAUACAAUUGCAUGUUUUAUGUGUGCUUAAUUUAAUCAACCGGUUCAAACAGGUUGAACUUGUUGCAAUGUAGAGCAUGGUAUGUUGUAACAAAAACUAUUAUAUAAACUACGAAAAUAAUUGCUACUAGUACCACUGUUCUUGUAUCCUUUCAUAGCUCCAUCUUCGUUUGAAUUAAGUGCAGAGAUACUGCAUGAACAUCAUUAAACGUGUUCAAUUCAGAUUCACCAGUUCUUGAAAUCCUUUCAUAGCUCCAUCUUUCAACUAGUGUUGCUAACAGUGAAUUGCCAAAAUAUCAGUUUGAUCAAAUCUUACUACUACACAACAGUGAUACAGUGCUGAUAUAGCCACUACUUGAAAACAUAGUGUAAUACAUAGUGUAUUGUUGAACAAUAGUGGUUUAUUCAGAUACCACUACACUAUUAAACAACACAGAUUGCUUAAAAAAUAGAAAAUUUCUCACAAGCAUAUAGAUGCAAGUAUAACCUAAUGUCUCACCAGGCUAAAAGAGUUAUCUACAUGAAUUUAAGAACAAAUAUUGUCCCUUGGAAUUGCACUAAACAAUGCAUAUUUCUUCAAAUUCACAUUAUAUAGAAAAAGAAAUUCAAAGUACAUAAUACACAAAUAUAAUAAAAGUGUUUGAACUUUUACCCCUACUCAAUACGUGACAUUCUUAUUUUAAUCCCAGAAAAUGAAAAUAGAUGUUGACAACACAACUUUAUUCAACUCAAUUUGAAUGAUGAUGUUGAAAACACACAAUUACAAUAGAAUUUCAAGAUUCAUAGGGAUUGAAAGUUGAUAUUGAAAUACAUGAGGGGUUUGUGAGAGGUUGAGAGAGUGCGAUAGAUUAGGGGUUUGUGAGAGAUCCUUUAAACCACUUCGUAGAUGUUGACUGAGGGCGGUUUAAGUGGUGUGUAAGGAGGCAAUUAGAUAAAAGUUUCGCGAGAACUGAUGUAAAGUUCGAAGGAGGGUGGUUAUUAAAGAAAUGUUGCAACUUUAAUGUCACAAAAUCUUAAAUUUUCUUCUAAUGUUUAUUUUUUAAUAAAUCGAUGAGAUAAGGGGAAUGAAAGCUUUACUCCCUUUAGGAAUGACAAUGAGCAGGGUGAUAAUUUUUCGGCAAGUGUAUCGAUAAUGUUACAGUAUUAAAAAGAUAUUGAUUCCAUAUGGAUUGUUAUUUAACAAGACAAUAAUUGUGCAAUUAUAAAAAGUAACAAUGGGGGAGGGGUUUGAGUUUGAAUGCGAGAAAAUAAAAGUUGUUCUGAAUUAAUAAGAAAAUAGUUAGAUUUUGUAUAAGAUCCCUUAUUUCUCUUUGAUGUCUAAUGCAUUACCUGAAUGAGAAUGUUAUUAUAUUUCCACGACGAAUUAACACAAUCACUAUACUCAAUUCUUUGGUUUAUAGCUCACUAAUUACCACUCGGGGUCUUCUAUCCCUAUUCAACCAUCGUAAGGGAAAUUAGACGAUGCACAUAACGUUAAUUCAACUGCCACUACUCGGAGUCUCUUAUCCCCAUUCAACAAGUGUAAUAGUCAGUAUUCCCUAUGUGCCCAAGAUUAGAUUAAAAUAAUAUCUCACAUAAAAAAAGAUUAAGAAAAAUAAGCAAUUGAAUAGAAAUAUAACUCCAAUUAUUUAGAAUGUUCGCUUAUAUUAAUUGUCUUCUUCGAAUUAUUAAAGUGUAAAGAGAAAAAGAAAGGGGUCAUAAUUUUUUAUUUAUUAAUAUGUCUGACAAGAUUGCGGGUUUCACUCCUACGGAUCUCCGAGUGCAAUAGAGAAUUAAAGACAUACGUAGUUCUGGAUAGAAAAUGUGUGUUGUUGGUCGAUUUUAGCAAAAGUUAUCUUGUAUCAAUCGACAAAAAAUAUUGUUUUAUCCAAGAUAGGUGAGGAGCGGGCGUUUGCAUCACCUUGAAUGAAUUUACAAAUCAACAUUCACGGGAAAACGUCAUUUAUCUUAACUCAACGAUUGUGGAUGACGCAUUGCUUUGCAUCAUCUUAAGAUAAAAUGUUUUUCGUUUAUAAAAAGGUUUUUAGGAUCAAUCGCACGACGGCGGGAAAAAAGUUUGAUUGGUUUCAUGUUUUAGGUGAAUGACGAACAUUUGAUGAGAACAAGACCUAACCCUCGGGAUCAAUCAUUCGGGGUUCCACCAUAAUACUAGAUUAUAACGGUCCUUUUUCAUUCAAGAUUAAUUGAGAAAAUUGUUUGAUGGACAACGAAUGCUUAAUAAGAAUCAAUUGUUCAAAGAGUUACGCCAGAAUGCUAAAUCACAACGACCCUUAUUUGUCCAAGUUGAUUUAAGUAUUUUAAGAACGAAAUAAAAGAAUGAACGAUUAACCUAAAAUGCGUGGCUCGAGAUCGAUCAUUCGAUGGUUUCCACCAGAAUGCUAGAAAUGUCCUCUUCUUUCUUAUUUAUUUAGGAAAAUAAUUUGAUAUUGCGUUAGAUUUUUGAAAUGGUUGAGAAUGAAUUGUGUUUAUUUUAAAAUGGAUAUUGAAUUUGUGAAAAGUUGGAAUUGAUUUUAACAUGUGUGAUAGUAUGGAGUGUGAUUAUUUACAUACAAAAGGGUAUGAACAUGGAUAGAGAUAAAUUCAUGGAAGGACUAAGCACAAUGCAAAUGACCAAACAAAUAGUCAAACAAUACAUUUAGUAAUUAGCAAAUAAUUAGUUAGAACUAUAACCAAACGAUAAUUAAAAUCUAAUUUAUUUAUUUACUACUAAAUUAAAUUAAUCAAAAAGAUGAAAUAAUAAAUAAACAAAUAAUAAUAAUAAUAAUAAUAAUAAAGUAAAACAAAUGGUACAUAUAUGAACACGGGGGUUUCUAUGUAAAAUGGGCCUAAAGCCCAAACUAACCUAAUUCUAAUAUUAUUAUUAAAUAAAUAAAAGAAAGAUAAAAAGAAGAAAAAAAUUUAAAAAAAAGGGUGAAAACAAGCUACUCACUCGGCGCCCAUUUGGAGAAAAAAGAGAGAGGAUUUUCAAAUUCAAAUUUUCACCAAUUAAAUUCUAACAUGUGGCAUUGGAUUAACAAACAAAAGCAACAUAACAGUUUCUCUUUCACUUACGAUUUGCAGACACAGAAAAAUUCAAGUUUUUAAGAUAUCUCUCUCUCUCUCUCUCGCUGCAUCACAUUAAAAAUUAGAAGAAAAAAAACAAAAAAUCAUUGUCCAUCUUCUCCCUCACGUCUCCCCUUCAAUAUCAUGAACCUUUCAUCCUUUCAAAAUGUUUCACAAACACAUGCAACAAAAUCAUACUUUUACACAAAGCACAAUUUCAAAUAUUUUCAUGAAGAAAUAAAUAGAGAGCCAUAAAGAAGAAGACGAGAAAAGAUGCAUGGAUAACUACCGGUGGUAUGUGCGUUUGAUGGUCUUCGCGGUGUUUCCGACGGUUUAACGGUUGAUCUCGCGGUGAGUUAACCGAGAUAGAUGAUGGGGACAACGAUGACUUGGUGGUGGUGUGUUGUGUUGUACGGUGAUUAAUCAGAGAUUAGGGUAGCGUUUUGGUUUCGAGUGGUUGUUAAGAAGAAUGAGGUUCGGAGCUUGGUGAUGGUGUGUGAUAUCGGUUCUUGAAUGUUAGUAGGGGACAUGUUUGGUGGUGGUUUUUGUAGCAGGAAAGGAGGGUGAAAUGGUGUUUACGUAUGAAGGAGGUUGGGGGAGGAAAGUGGUAGCGGUUUGCAUGGCUCUGUGUAUCCACAAAAAUGGACUCUAGAAGUUUUAGAACAGUGAGAAGGCCCAAACUUCUUGUCCAGAACCAACUCAAGGGUAGUCUAAGGAAUUUUCUCUUUGGUAAGGGUUCUUAAAACAAGCUUCUCGUCACCAACUUUCAAGUAAAGAAUAACAUGCACUUAACCAUUUCAAAUUUUGUUUGUAAAUUAAGCAUAAUUAAGAAACAUUCAACGAUAAAUUUCAAAGAUUCUAUUCCUGCAUAUAAACCUCAUCAUCAAUUGCCCUAAAUCUGCAAACUGCAUACAACUGUAUCCAAUAUAUAUAUCUUCAUAUAACCAAAAAUGGAUCACUUAUAAUAUAUUUUCUUAUUUUAAAACUAACAAAAUAAAUAUUAAUUUACAGUAAUGCUCCAAUAUAUAUAAAUAUAUAAUAAUAGGUUACUAUUGCAUAGAUGUUCAACUUCCAUUACACAUUCAAAAUUCAGAAAACACAACAAUAAAAAAAGUAACAAACCAAAACAAACAAACUACUUAGUGAUUAAAUAUAAAAAAAACCAAGUUGAACAAUCUCUGCAACAUCACUCAAUUCUCUCCGCUUUCAUCAUCAUCGGAAGAAGGUAACCUGUUCAAAUCAAAUUUUUUUAUCCCUUCUUCAUUUUCAUCAUCAGCCGCUUCAAGUGGUGCUGGUUCAUUUCUCCUAUUCCCACUCUGUGAUGGUGGAAGUGGUGGUCCAAGUGCUGCUGCGGACCCCGCUGGUUGGCUUCUCUUUUUUCCUCCACUGCCGCCACCGGCAGAAGGCCCUUCCUCUGCCACAAGGGAGCGAUUCAAAUCAACAACAAGUCCUCUAACAACAUGUUGCACUUCUUCAUCCACCUGAUUACCACCAUCACCUGAAAACAAUCAACCACAUAAGAAAAACCACAUUCAUAUAAAUGUUCAAUUAAUCCAACAAUCACAUAAACAUAAAAAAAAUAGUUUUAUAAUAAUCUUAAACAUAUUUUCAAUUAAAUAUUUAUUAUAAAACUAUAGUUAGUAUAAAGUCAUAUAUGUAUAUGUAUAUAUAUACCCUCAACCGCAGGCAAUUGUGGUGGUUCAAAAGUAGGUGGCGGAAAGAAACCACGGUGCAGGCGUUCGGGGUGUUUUCGCAUGUGUCCAAACGCUGCCUUCCAUGUCGCAAACUGUCUUCUACAUUCUGGACAAGUUGGAGUUCCUUGAGGAGGGUUUCUAACUUGAUUACUUUUUCUUUUCUUCGAGCCCUUACCACUACCACCAGCACCACCACCACUUCCCAUCACAGGCACAUUUGCACCGUCCGCAGUAACGGCGAUCACCAGAGGCCUAGAGGCAUCGCCAUCCUGGUCUCCGCCGUCUUCAUUACCACCAUCACCACUUUCAUUUCCGUAUAUUUCAUCAUCACCCGCAGUUAACUCAGCCCAAACUUCCUCAGCAGUUUUCAUGAUAACAUUUUCAGAAGAACCCUCGGCCUCAUGGAUAGGGUUUGUUUGAGUAGGGGUGUUAUCAUGUUCAGAUGGAGAGUGUGGAGGGGAAACCGGGGAAGAGUUGUUUGGGAUAGAAUUUGUGUUCUUGGAAGGGUCCAUUGCGAUGAUGAUGAUGUGAUGAUGAUAAUAUUACUAAAAGAGAAAAAUGAGUGAGAAUUGUAAUUGUGUGUGGAAAAUGUGAAGCGAAUGUGAAGUAUUUAUGUUAAUGAAAAAUGGAGGAUUAAGUUUACGUUACACUAAAUUCAUAAAACGCAACCAUUUGCGAAACGAUGCAAACAUUCAGUAUUUGAUUUUUAAAUUCAUAAAACGCAACCAUUUACGAAAGGAUGCAAAUAUGCAGUAUUUGAUUUUGGUGGUGUCUUUUGGCGGGAAAGGUGGUUAUAUUCCAUGUAUACUAGAAAUCAAAUAAAUUUUCUUAUAAGAUAAUAUUUUUUGUCAGAAAAUCAUUACUCCUUUAUGUUGUUAAAUUGGAAUAUUAAAAUUUUCAUUUGACUGAAAAAUAAAUAAAUUUGAAUUUAUAAAUUAAAUUUUAAUAAUUAUAAUUAUAUUAUAUAAAAGAAAACUAAUAAUAAAUGGCAUUUUAGGAUGCAAUGAUGGAAAUUAAUAUUACGCUAAUCUAUUUUGCAAUGGGAUUUGAAAAUAAAGCUAUCAAAAUAUGUCACACCAUAUCCAUACUAAAUCCUUCUUUCCCAUUUAUCUGCAUUUGGCUAACUAGCCCAAUGACGGUGGUUUGAAAACAUCACAUAAAGACUAUACUUCAGAUAAACAACAAUCAGACACGUGGACGUGUCCGAUUUACAAUCCUUAACUACUUUUGUCAGAAAUUUAGUUUACUAUAAAUAUUGAACUCUGAAGUAGAAUUUGUAAGACAGCAACAUUAUCAAACGGUUAUACACCAUGGGUGCUCUUGAUCACAUCUCCGACCUCUUUGACUGCUCUUACCGAAGAAGUUCCAAAUAUAAGAAAAAGCGCAAACAAUUCCAGACGGUGGAGGUGAAAGUGAAGAUGGAUUGCGAAGGAUGUGAGAGAAAAGUGAAGAAAUCUGUGGAAGGGAUGAAAGGGGUGACACAAGUGGAAGUUGAACGGAAGAUGUGAGAGAAAAGUGAAGAAAUCUGUGGAAGGGAUGAAAGGGGUGACACAAGUGGAAGUUGAACGGAAAGCAAACAAGGUAACCGUUACGGGUUACGUGGAGCCUUCCAAGGUGGUGAAACGAAUCGUGUAUCGAACGGGAAAACGGCUGAGCUAUGGCCUUAUGUUCCAUACGACGUGGUUGCACACCCUUAUGCUCAUGGUGUUUACGACAAAAAGCACCUUCCGGUUACUUUAGAAAUGCUUAUGAUCCUAACGUUUCUAGCCUCGCGCGUGCUAGUUCUGCGGAAGUUAGGUAUAUUACUGCUUUCAGCGAUGAUAACCCCGCCGCAUGCGCCGUCAUGUGAUUCCUCAGUGACGCCGCAGCUAUCGACAGUAUAUAAUCCUAGGGAAAAUUUGUUGCUAGUUCAACUUUUGUCCUAGGGAAAAUAAUUCUGCAUUGCACUUUCUAGGAAUGAUGAGUUAUUAUAUAUUCCUGCUUUUAAAUUUUCCAGAAUACCAAGUCCAAUUUUUAUAGCAACAAAUUAAAACUACUCAUAUAGUAUAUUUAAUAAGUUCUUAAGUGCAAGAAACCAAAACACAGAGAUGAUGUUUGAGUAAUUGAAUUCAUUAUCAUUAAAUUCUAACUCUGUCAAUCUAAUAGUCAGUUUUUCACAUCAUUACAAUUUCAUAAUAUGCCUAGUUUACAAAAACAUAUCUCUACUAAGCUAUGUCAGACUCUUUUCGCAUCGGAUGAUUGUAUCCAAACUCUUCCUCGGCUUGACUCAACAAGUCUUGAAACGACGGUUGAUUCAAGUAUGAUACUGGGAUCACAAAACGCUUUAGUUUCUCUCCAACAUACACAGCAACAUAUCCCUUUGGCACCUCUACACCUUUUGAAACUCCUCGUUUUGCAGAAAAUGAUGUGCUUCUGAUGAUACCAGGGAAGCGAAAACCCAUUACUAUAUGUGUUAAAACUUGAGAAGACUUGAUUUUAAGACAACUCUUUGAAAACUAUAACCAAUCUUUUGAAAUUGGAAUGCUUUAGGAUGUGGAUAAGUUUGUAACCAUAAAUAUAUAUAGAAAGCAUUGGCUAGUUGAAUGAUUGGUGAAGUAUAUACUUAUAGGGUCACAUGGUACUGUCUAAGAGGUCAUUAUUCACACCUAUCAAAUAAUGUAAUAUAAUAGACUAUACAAAUCCCAUCUUAUAAUACAAAAAUAAACAUAUUACCCCACCAGACAACAAGCUUAUCCAUGCUAAAGAAAGUUUAAUUGACCACAAAGUUCUGUUGUGGUAUGCAAGUUUCAUCGAGUUUAUCAACAACAAGCUUAUCCAUGCUAAAGAAAGUUUAAUUGACCACAAAGUUCUGUUGUGGUAUGCAAGUUUCAUCGAGUUUAUCUUGCAAGAAUAUAAAAUGUGGUUCAGAGUGAUCUUGUGUUCCUUAUUAGUUAUCUUCUUGCCUCCAAUCACUGUUUCUGAGAUGUUAUCUAUCAGGUCCUACACAGGUUUCACAUAAAUCUGAUAUAUAUUUAGGUGGUAGAUGUAUAUUAGCUGGAUUGUGAAUUUGAAGAAGCAUGUGAGAUGUCUAAACCAUGUCUACCAUUGAAAUAGUUAUAACAAAAUGCAACAACAGACAUCAGCUUUCUUUCACCAUUGCAUUGCCUGAAAAUCAUGUCUAAACCAUGUCUACCAUUGGAUUAAAUAUUACAAAAUGCAACAACAGACAUCAGGUUUCUUUCACCAUUUCUUGGUGGUGGUGUGUUGUACGGUGAUUAAUCAGAGAUUAGGGUAGCGUUUUGGUUCCGAGUGGUUGUUUAAGAAGAAUGAGGUUCGGAGCUUGGUGAUGGUGUGUGAUAUCGGUUCUUGAAUGUUAGUAGGGGACAUGUUUGGUGGUGGUUUUUGCAGCAGGUGGAUUUGAGUUACUUUUCUCUGGUGUCAGAAGGAAAGGAGGGUGAAAUGGUGUUUACCUAUGAAGGAGGUUGGGGGAGGAAAGUGGUAGCGGUUUGCAUGGCUCUGUAUCCACAAAAAUGGACUCUAGAAGUUUUAGACCAGUGAGAAGGCCCAAACUUCUUGUCCAGAACCAACUCAAGGUAGUCUAAGGAAUUUUCUCUUUGGUAAGGGUUCUUAAAACAAGCUUCUCGUCACCAACUUUCAAGUAAAGAAUAACAAAAAUGCACAUUAGCUUUGUCUUUCACCAAGUGCAUCUUGAGAAAGAUGAACGCAUGCUUUAAAUUGUUGUAGAUCCAAAUUUGACAUAUCCACUAACUUUAACCUCAACAACCCCCAUAACUCCAUUGAAGAGAGGGAGAUAAUUAAUGAGUAUGCAAGGGUGAUAGGGUUUAGAGAAUGAUAAUGAGUAGUGUAAGAGUGAAUGCGGGUUUAGAAGAUAUUGUAGAGAAAGGUUAUAUCAACAUAAAGUUUAAUGGUUGAAAAUAAAAUGUAUAUAAGGUGAGAUGGAGAUGGGAAGAAGUACCGUGGUGUUAUGCGGUUCAGCGUUCAUGGUCGGAGUAGGAACUGAGAGAAUUGGUGUAAGGUGGGCAGUUACAAUGGUUGUGUGAUUUUAUAUUGAACCGAAGCAAGUAAUCUAUGGUUUGUUGGUGGAAGGAAAUAAGUAUUAUGGAAGGUUGUGCUGAGAUUCUUAGAAGAUGAGAAAAGGUGCUGUGAGGUGAAACUUCAUGAAGAAAAGAAGAACAUCAAAACUUAUUCAUAACGGUGGUGAGAUGAUAUUUUACAUGAAGCAAGAUUUUGUUAUGGUGUUGGUAUAGUAUGUACAUGAAUAAUGGUGGGAUGAAAAGAGAUAAAAGGUUUUUUUGCAGUAAUGAAUGAGAAAAGGGUUAGUGAGGUAACGUUGAGGAGGGGAGUAUUUGUCUGAGUAAAAAAAAUUGAAUGUGAAGAUGAUGAUGGAUGUGAAACCAGAGGGAGGACGAGGCUGAAAACCUAAUUUGAAAUGAAUGAGAGAGGAUCAAAGUGAGUUGAGAGGCGCGGAGCUAUCGGUCCCCCCUUCUUGUUCAUGCAUUGGCCCCUUAUAUAGGAUGAUAACUAGGGUUUUUAUAAAUAAUAAAAGUCUAAAGUCCCCUUUGAAUAUUUGUUUAAGAGACUAAAAUAAAUAAAACUAAAUGAACUAAAAUAAAAAUAAAAACACAAAAAAAAACAUAACUAAUCCUAUUUAAAUAUUUUGAACAUUUUAUCGUAAAAAUAAAAAUUGAAAGACUCAAAAUGAAUAAAAGUCACACGCAAAAUUGCUCAAAAAAUUAAAGUGAAUGUAUCAAAAUCAUCAACACAAAAUAAACUUCCCGAAAACAUACCGGUUUUGAUCAAAUUUUGAAAUAAAAGUGAUCGGCUAAAAGGCUCAAGCUGAUUACAAUGCAUGCUCAAAAAAUUAAAGUGAAUGUAUCAAAAUCAUCAACACAAAAUAAACUUCCCGAAAACAUACCGGUUUUGAUCAAAUUUUGAAAUAAAAGUGAUCGGCUAAAAGGCUCAAGCUGAUUACAAUGCAAUAGAAAAAGUAGUAAAAAAAACGAGCACGUCAGGUUAAACUACGCGAACAGUAGAUUAAUAAAAUUGAUGUAUUCAUGUUCAAUUUUGAAAUAUUCGUCAAUUUAUUUCACGUACAUUUGAGAAUUAGUUUGAUUGAUCUGUCUGUAAAUCCGAAAGUUUAAUCUAGUUGACAUUUUGGGCACUAUUAGGGAUGAAAUGCAUGUUAUGCUAUGUGGAUGAUAUGAAUGUCACGACGUAUGUAUCGAUUCAAUGAUUCAGGGUUAAAAUUGGGGUAUGACACAUAGAGGCUGCUGUUUAACAAGACAAUAAUUGUGCAAUUAUAAAAAGUAACGAUAGAGGGAGGAGUUUGAGUUUGAAUGCGAUAAAAUAAAAGUUGUUCUGAAUUAAUAAGAAAGCAAUUAGAUUUUGUAUAGGAUCCCUUAUUUCUCCCCCGUUGAUGUCUAAUGCAUUACAUGAAUGAGAAUUUUAUUAUAUUUUCACGACGAAUUAACCCAACCACUAUACUCAAUUCCUUGGUGUAUAACUCACUAACUACCACUCGGUGUCUUUUUUCCCUAUUCAAGCAUCGUAAGUGAAAUUAAACGAUGCACAAAACGUUAACUCAACUGCCACUACUCGGGGCCUCCUAUCCCCAUUCAACCAGCAUAAUUAUAUCAAUUUCCCUAGUUCCAACAUAUAGACUAAUAGUCAGUAUUCCCUAUGUGCCCAAGAUCAUAUUAAAAGAGUAUCUCAUAUAAAAAGCAUUAAUCAAAAUAAGCAAUUGAAUAGAUAUAUAACUCCAAUUAUUCAUGAAAUGACAAAUUAAACCUAUGUCCAAACAGGUUCAAAAUAUGUUUAGAGAUGUUUAACUACUCAUAACGAUACAAUCAAAUACCAAUUGAUUAGAUGAAGAUCGUAUCAGAAAAUCCUUGAAGUACUAAUCUCAAAUGACUUCCAAUGCUCUCAAAAUUGCCCUCUUGGUGCUUUUUACCGUCACUUUCAGUCUAAAACGCAGAUUCUGACAGUUGGAAUGAUUAGUUGACCUCAAUGCAUCACACCUAAACCAUAGAUUUUGAUUCACUAUAGUUGGAAAAAUGAUGAAUUCAUGUUGUCAAGGUUUCAUGCAUGUUCAAUUGAGAUCAAACAGUCUAUAUUAUAAAAUCAGUAUGUUUACUAUUUUAAAAAUUCAAAAUCAUAUUAAAUAUGAAUCAUCCAACCUUGUUCAAACGAUUAUAAAUAUUGUGACUGCGUGAAUGCGGCAAAAUGCCAACUACAGCGAAUCCAAUUUCCUAAACCACAACACAUUUUUUUUCAUUACAUAGACUUGUUUCUAAUUCUAUUUUUCUUUUUCUUUUUUUGAUACUUUAUAAAAAGCUAAAACAAAAAGUAAAGUGAAAGGACACAAAUUUGAAAAAUCUAUCCUACAUGAUUAUAAUAGAUGUAGGGGUUCUAGAGGUGAGAAUCAGGCUUUUUCAGAUGGAUUUGGCUAAUGAGGCGGCACCGGAGGUGAUUUUGGAGAAUUAACACUGAUCAAAUAUUGAAUAUUUGAUAUCUAUCAUGAAAAAAUUACAAUAAAAUGGUUUGAUAGGAUGUUGUUGCAAAUAUGAGAGUUUCGCUAGUGGUCGUUAUAAUUUUGGUGGUUUCGCUAGUGGUCGCAAAAGUUGAUCUAUGAACUUUGAUUCAACUAAAAUCGUUGAAGAUAUUUGUUUGUUUGUGUUUUAUAUUUAUGUCGUAAGCAUUGCUAGAGACGAAACAUACACUAACAAUGGUUGUUUGAUAAUAACUGACGGUUUCUAAUCAGAUCUUUAAGAUUUAUGGUUUCUUCUUUUGGCUUAUUUUCUAUAGUUCUCUUGAGAGCAUAUUUUUAUUUCAAUUUUUCAUGUGAAUUUUUGAAUGAAUUAGAGAACUUUUGAGAUAUUUCUUUGAAAGCAAGCUGUGAGGAUUUAAUUUGCUCACCAAUAACUAUUUUAUUGUUGAAAUAUGUUUCCUUCUCCUGAGAUAAUUUAUGAAGAGAGUUUUGAAAAAAUUCUUUGACCGAAGCUGUUAUAGUAGAAGUUGAAUAAUGUUGAUUUUGUUGUUGAUAAGUGUAUGAAGGGGCAUAUAAAAUAUAUGGAUUUGGAUUGAAAAUAGAAUAUUAUUGAUUUAAAGAAUGAAAUUACCGAUUGAUAGUUUUGAGAACAAGAACACUAUUAAAACUAAAGAAAAAUAAAGUAUUCUAAAAACUAAAAAGACGAUAAAACUAUCUAAUAAAAAUAACUUUAUUUAAUUUCAUCAUAUAUUUAAAUAUAUUAAAGACUAUAUAUAUAAAUUUAAUAUUUAAUUAUAAUUCACCGCUCUAACCUGAUAUUUUCCGCACACUACAUUUUAUAAUUGUACCACUUUCUUAUAUAAUAAUAUUUUUUAAUAUAUUAUUUUAGAUAAUCUAAAUCCGUAUUUUUUAUAUCAUGUUCUAUUACUAUUUGCUUUGAAGAUGAUAUAAUUUAUUUUGUUAAUAAAAAAUAUAUGACUAUACAACUCACAUAAUUGAUAAAAAAAAUUAAAAUAAAUAAUCAUAAAUUUGUUUCAUUUUUUAUCAUAAAAUAAUUAUAAAUGAUCCAUAUUAUCAUAUAUUUUAAAUACAAUUUCAUUCACACAAUGCUUAUGAAUUUAACAAUCAUACGACUAUACAAUUCAUUUUAUAACUAUAAAUCAUAUUAGUGUGUUCAACUAUUCAUAAUAAAAACUCAUGUGAUAUUUGUUACUUUCUAUUUUUUAUCAACUAUAUAUUCUACUUUUUAUUAUUAUAAGUCAUUUGAGAAAAAGUUUAUACCUUUAUUAAUAAUUUAUAAAAUAUUUUAUAAUAUCAAUGAAUUAUUAAUGUUAUUUUAUAUAUUAUAUUUUUAAUUAUUUAUUAUUUUCUUUUUUUUCAAUUCUUUAAACUUAUCUUUAAUAUAUGACAAUUUUAUAAAAUCUUUUAUAAUUUUCUUUUAUAAAACAGUAAUUAUAUUUUUUAGUAUGUGUAAAUUGGAUGAAUGAAAUAGCUUAAUUGCUAUUUACUAAUUCGACUAAAUAAAUGUGAGUUAUUUAUAAUUUAAAAAAUGUAGUCUUGUUUUAAACUUUUCCAGACACUAUAUUUUAUAAUCCUAUAUUUUUUAUAUUGUAAUGUUUGAUUAUACACUCUCUUUCUUAAUUUAUACAUUUUUCACCUUAAAUUUCCAUAUUUUAAAUUUUGUUUGUAAAUUAAGCAUAAUUAAGAAACAUUGAACGAUAAAUCUGAUCCACUUAACCAUUUCAAAGUUUCUAUUACCACAUUUAAACCUCAUCAUCAAUUGCCCUAAAUCUGCAAACUGCAUGCAACUGUAUCCAAUACCUAUCAUAUCUUCAUAUAGCCAAAAAUGGAUCACUUAUAAUAUACUUUCUUAUUUUAAAACUAACAAAAUAAAUACUAAUUUACAGUAAUGCUCCAACAAAGAUAAAUAUAUAAUAAUAGGUUACUAUUGCAUAGAUGUUCAACUUCCAUUACACAUUCAAAAUCCAGAAAACACAACAAUAAAAAAAACAACAAACCAAAACAAACAAACUACUUAGUAGGCAUGAUUAAAUAUAAAAAAAACCAAGUUGAACAAUCUCUGCAGCAUCACUCAAUUCUCUCCGCUUUCAUCAUCAUCUGAAGAAGGUAAUCUGUUCAAAUCAAAUUUUCUUAUCCUUCUUCAUUUUCAUCAUCAGCCGCUUCAAGUGGUGCUGGUUCAUUUUCCUAUUCCCACUCUGCGAUGGUGGAAGUGGUGGUCCAAGUGCUGCUGCGGACCCCACUAGUUGGCUUCUCUCUUUUCCUCCACUGCCGCCGCCGGCAGAAGGCCCUUCCUCUACUACAAGGAAUUGUGAUUGUGUGUGGAAAAUGUGAAGCGAAUGUGAAGUAUUUAUGUUGAUGAAAAAUGGAGGAUUAAGUUUACGUUACACUAAAUUUAUAAAACGCAACCAUUUGCGAAACGAUGCAAACAUGCCGUAUUUGAUUUUGGUGGUGUCUUUUGGGGGGAAUUCAUAAAAUGCAACCAUUUGCGAAACGAUGCAAACAUGCAGUAUUUGAUUUUGGUGGUGUCUUUUGGGGGAAUUGAUAAAACGCAACCAUUUGCGAAACGAUGCAAACAUGCAGUAUUUGAUUUUGGUGGUGUCUUUUGGGGGGAAAGGUGGCUAUAUUCCAUGUAUACUAGAAAUCAAAUAUAUAAGAUAAUAUUAUUUGUCAGAGAAAUCAGAAAAUCAUUAUUCCUUUACGUUUUUAAAUUGGAAUAUUAAAAUUUUCAUUUGACUGAAAAAUAAAUAAAGGUAUCUUUGAAUUUAUGAAUUAAAUUUUAACACAACAACAUCAUCGAACGGUUAUACACUAUCUCUAUAAAUAUUGAACUCUGAAGUAGAAUUUGUAACACAAGAACAUCAUCAAACGGUUAUACACCAUGGGUGCUCUUGAUCACAUCUCCGACCUCUUUGACUGCUCUUACCGAAGAAGUUCCAAAUACAAGAAAAAGCGCAAACAAUUCCAGACGGUGGAGGUGAAAGUGAAGAUGGAUUGCGAAGGAUGUGAGAGAAAAGUGAAAAAAUCCAUGGAAGGGAUGAAAGGGGUGACACAAGUGUGUCGCAGCCUAAAAAAUAUAGUGUGCGAAGAAACAACCGGCGAAAAAGAAAAUGACAGAAGAGUCGCCACCGUGCGUUAUUUAUCCCAAAGGAGGGAAAGGAAACGCUCAAAGUAAACCUGGAGAAAGGAAAGGAAAAGACAAGGUCUCGCAACCAAAUCUUGGGUUCGGAAGUCGAUUAUGCGAAGGGAAGGUAUUAGCACCCCUGCGCAUCCGUAGUACUCUACGGGAUCCACUCUUGUUGUUCUUGUCUAAAGGGUGUGCGUAUAUCUAAUGUACUAUUUACUAAAAAGGAGGUCAAAAGAAAAUGACUCACACGGAUGUCGCAUCCACUGCAUACGUAUCUCAUAUGAAUAUGAGAAUUAGAGUCUUCGUAGCUCGGCUACCUAUGGGUGAAAGAGAAGUGUGCUCGCUAAGACAUCGCGUCUUAUGCCUACGUAUCUCAUCGGGAAUGAAAAUCAGAGCAAAACGUAGUUCAGCUAACUACGGGAAUAAGGGUCUCGAUUGCCACUAGGGCAAGAGAAAGGGAAGGUCUCGAUCGCAACGAGGGCGAGAGAAAAGAAUCGCGACAAGGGCGAAAGCAAACAAAGAUUAGUUGUUAGUCGUUAGUCAAAAAAGAAACUCGGAAAGACAUCGCAUCUUGUGCCUACGUAUCUCAUCUGAACAUGAGAAUCAGAGUUGCCGUAGUUCGGCUACCUAGGGAUUGCCAUCUGAACACGGACUUACAAAGGAGGACACCAGUUGUGUCAAAGGAAAGUGGGCAAUGUGUUCACGUCCUAGCAACAGGUGUCGCAGCUCGCUGAAUCGAGUCUUAGGCAGUUACCUCUUUGCAAUAGAACGAACUACAUGCCACAGGAUCGGAGACGCACGGAAGGUCUAAAAAAAAGGGGAAGCUCUGCCCUAUAGUUGUCAUGCAAUAUGGACCUAAGUGUUAGGAUUUACAAAUGGGAACAUCUACCUAAUGUUAGCAUGCAAAGAAUAAGGGAAUUCUACCUAUGUUAUCAUACAAAAGAAUAAGGGAAUUCUACCUAAUAAUGUUAGCAUGCAAAGAAUAAGGGAAUUCUACCUAUGUUAUCAUACAAAAGAAUAAGGGAAUUCUACCUAUGUUAUCAUACAAAAGAAUAAGGGAAUUCUACCUAUGUUAACAUACAAAAGAAUAUGGGAAUUCUACCUAAUGGGUGCUACCUAAACGGAACAAGAAUCGACGAAUGGAGCAAGGUGAGGGUAAGGGUAGAUGGCGAUGCAUGAAGCAAUCGACUUACAGGUGGUAGAUGGCGAUGCAUGAAGCAAUCGACUUACAAGAGAAAUGGUGAUGCAUGAAGCAAUCGACUUACAAGAGAAAUGGCGAUGCAUGAAGCAAUCGACUUACAAAAGGAUGGAUGAAUACAUGCUGGUUAUGUUAAGUUUGGAAAAUAAUUACUCGACGUUGGAUCGAGGUUUUGGUCUUGUUUUGAAAUGGUUAUCGGAUGUUUGUUUUAGUUCUUGUAUUAACAGAUGAAUAAAGAAUGAAAGAAUAAACAUUAUACACUUCAUGGGAGAGGGAUACAUUUGUUAUGAAUGGGGAUUGUUCAUGGUAAUCAAACAAUAAUAAUAUGUGCCUCAUACAACAUACAAGUAGGCAACAGUUUAAUCGAGUCAGAUAAAUAAACAAAUAUAUGGUCAAAUCAAAUAAUCAAAGAAUGAAAUGAAUGAGCAUUAGACAAUGCAUGAUAAGUGUAAACAUGUUAAUCAAUCAAACAAUAGAAGCAUGGAUGAAAGAAACAAGUAUAAAAAAUAUCAAAUGAAUCAGACAAGUGAAAUUAUGCACACAAAGGAUCAAUGAAUAAUUUAAUCGAGAAAUGAUGCAAAGAUCAAAUAAAAUCAAGAUUAAAGGCCUCUAAUAUGUGGCAUGUGAGAUGAACAAGGGAGAAUCAAAAGAUCUCUUCAAUUGCUCUAAGCAAUCCCUAUGUCAAACAUCAAUCAUAAAAAAGUCAACUGUAAAGUCAAGUCAACUUAAAAAUUAUCAAAUAAAUAGUAAAUUAAUUCAAUAAAUUAUGAAAAAAUAAAUUAAAUGAGGCAGGGUCAGGACAUCAUCAUCCCCCAAAAAGAUUUCAAAAAUAAUGAAAAUUGGUUAUUGAAUUAAUUGAAUCAAAACAGAAGUCAAAUGAAAAGUCAACCAAGCAAACUAGGUCAAAAAUAAAUUCAAAAUAAAUUUAAAAUGGAAAAUAAAAUUCCAAGAAAAGGUCAGGUUGACCAUGAGACAUUGGUCAACCUUCAUCUCAAAAAUCAGAAGUUAAAAAUAAUUCUAAGUCAUGAAAAUAAAAUAAAUGCAAAAAAGUAUGCUUAAAAGAACAACUUGAAAUGAAUAAUUAAAAUAAAAUAUUAACAUUAAAUAAAAUAUGAAAAUAAAAAUUAAAUAAAUUAAAUAAAACAUUAAAGAAUGUAAAAAAUAUUUUUUGGUAUUUUUAUGAAUAAAUAAAAAUAUUUUAUUAAUUUAAAAUGAAAACAGAAAAAUAAAAUAAAUUGAAAAAAAUAAAAUGAAAAUGAAAUAAUGAAAUAUGAUGGGCCAUGAGUGCAUGGGGUGUGGAUAGCGUCUGAGCGCAUGAGAGGCCCGGCCCAAACGGUUAUUGCAGCGUGACCAAAAAAUAAAUGUUCAGCUUAAUGAAGUCUAUGUAGCACGUUGAAUCAAUUGGCCAUGUGAAGUAAGUCACAAAAGACAAAACAGUGGAAUGGACGAACAUGAUCAAACACACACGCGCGAUCCAAGGGACCACCGAGUGACACAUGUUAUUUCUUCAUGCAGCAUGCAAAGAAAACGUAAAAGCCAUGCAUUAAUGCUGAAAAAACGUGAAAAAACGCAGCAAUUUCUUCCAACCUUCCAACUAACAUAUCUCCCUCUAUAGUGCUCCAAAUGGGAUGAUGUAAAAAUCAAAGUUCAAGUUUGAAACAUGUAGAACACAAUGGUGUCUUGUUUUAUUAAAAAUAAUGGCUCUAGAAUAGAGAAAAGCGAACAACAAGGUAGGCUCAUGCAAGGAUACGACAAAAAUUCAAAGUUACAAAAUUUAAGUUUAAUGAACAUGCUUCAAUGAAGGGUCCAUAAGACAAACAUAACAUAAUAUUAACAACAAAAAUUAGCAUGAAACAAGCAUGGCAUAGUGGGAAAAUACAUGAAGUAUGGAUGGAUAUCAUGAAAUGAACAUGGAAAGUAUGAUGAACAAGCAAAGUAUUCAUGGCCAUGGAAGGUUGGAAUAAAGAGAUUACCUAGUGGAGAAAGUCCACUGCUUCUUGUUGGGAUGAGAGGAAAGAGAAGGAAGAUACUUCAAUGAUGUUGCAAACUUGAAGAAUGGAAAAUGGAAGUGAGAAACAACCUUGCCCUUGCCUUGCUCUUGCUUAGGUCGAAAAUGUAGCAGCCUCCAUUCUGAUUAGGGUUUUAGGAGUUUAUAUAUGUAGGGUUUUAAGUGUUUGAAUGGGCUUAAGUGUGUGGUUUUGGUUCAUGAGCAAAAUGCCACAAAAGGUGAGGUGUGAAAUGAAACUCUAAAUGUGGCAAAGCUUAAGUGAGUGAACAUAAAAGGUACAUGGCCAAAUGAGGAAAACAUGUGUUGGUUGGUUUGUGCAACAUGGCAUGAUUUUUUUUGGAAAUAAGUUCAAGAGGGUGACUUUAUGACCUUGUAACUUGAUGAGAACAUGUCCAAAUGGCAAGGCAAUGCAAACAGUAGAAAGAGGGCAUGGAACUUAACAUUUUUCAUGUUGAACACAUCUUGAAAAGUUCAAGAGGGUGACUUUAUGACCUUGUAACUUGAUGAGAACAUGUCCAAAUGGCAAGGCAAUGCAAACAGUAGAAAGAGGGCAUGGAACUUAACAUUUUUCAUGUUGAACACAUCUUGAAAUGGCGAGUGGAAAGAGGUGAAAAAUGGUCAUAAAGUUCAGGUCUCAUGGCUGCAAAAUGGUUGGGCCAGUUUGGCCUAAAUGCUGUCAAAAAAUUCAGCCUAUGAUACCAACUUUAGAUGAGUGUAUCUUCCAAACCAAUGAUCCAAAUGGGAUGAUUCCAAAGGGAUGUGAAAAAGGACAUAACAAGGUACAACUGUCAUGAAGAAAGUAUUUUCAAAAGAUGUCUUAAAGUGCAAGAAAACUGGCCCAUAAGUCUUGACAAAUUUUGCAAAUUUUGGACUUAGAAAAUUUUCUAAGUGUCCUAAAAUAAUGUCUUACUUUGACCAAGCAUAACUUUCUUAAUUUUAAUCCAAAUGAAACAAACUUUAUAUCUCUUGAAAGCUUGGAACAAAAGGAACAACUUUCAUGUUGGAGAAAUUUUCAAAUGGAGCUUGCAUCUUGAUGGAAAAUUGGCUUAAACUGGGUGCAAAAACCAUAAAAACUUGCCUUAAAUGGAAAGUCAACUAUUUCCAAAUUUAGUAACUUUUCUAAAUCCUGAUUAAGCGAUGAAUCCAUGAUCCAACCUUGAUCAAAUUUCACCUGUAGGCUCCCUUAGGCAUGAAUUUUAAAAUUCCACUUUCAAAAUGUUAGGAGUUGACUUUUCUGACCCCACAGUUGACUUUUCCCAAACUGUUUGAUUCCCGAUUCCAUUGAUCAAUUGAAGUACCUCUAGCUCAAAUAAAGAGCUGAUUUUUUACAUGAAGACCCUUGUGGACAUAUGGAGGGCCAUGGAAAUGAGUUUCACCCAAGGAAUCAGAAAUAAACCGAUUUUAUACCAAAACCUAGUUUUUGGGCAAAGAUGACUAGGAACUGAUUGCACUGAUUGCCAAUGGAUCUUUGUGAGAUAAUUGUGAAUCUUCCUAGGCCAAGAUGCCUCUAUAAUCAUGACAUGAAUGAGCCCCUUCACUUCCAACCAAACCUUUCCUGUUGCAGAUAGCCGUGAAACCCUGAUUUCUGGUUAACUCCAGAUGCACACUCUGAGAGCUUUGAAUCUUCCAUUGAUGAAACUGAGGACCAUAAUAAGACAUAUGGACCUCCUUAAGACCCUUGAGACUUUUAUAUUUGGAGAAUGAAGUUCAAUUCUCAGUCUUGCCUUGUGUGGGCUCCUUCUGGUUAAGGAGUGGUCAAUCAAACCCUGAUUUCUAAGUCACUAAUGCAGUAUGCAAUGAGUAUGACCUAGUAUGAUGCUAAUGCAAUCCCAUGCUUUCCAUGAAAAAGUGAAGGGUAAAUUUUGGGGUAUUACAAAGUGCAAGUUGAACGGAAAGCAAACAAGGUAAAUGUUACGGGUUACGUGGAGCCUUCCAAGGUGGUGAAAUGAAUCGUGUAUCGAACGGGGAAAACGGCUGAGUUAUGGCCUUACGUUCCAUACGACGUGGUUGCACACCCUUAUGCUCCUGGUGUUUACUACAAAAAAGCACCUUCCGGUUAUGUUAGAAACGCUUAUGAUCCUAACGUUUCUAGCCUCGCACGUGCUAGUUCUGCGGAAGUUAGGUAUACUACUACUUUCAGCGAUGAUAACCCCGCCGCAUUCGCCGUCAUGUGAUUCCUCGGUGACGCCGCAACUAUCGAUAGUAUAUAACAUAGUCUGUCUGUUUUUUUCGUCUUCUUUAAUUUGCUUUUAGUUUAGUUUGCCUUUUCUAUUAUUGUACUGUACAUUCGCGAAGAAAACAAAAAAAAAGGAUUGGAGAUGGGAAGAAGUACCGUGGUGUUAUGCGGUUCAGCGUUCAUGGUCGGAGUAGGAACUGAGAGAAUUGGUGUAAGGUGAACAGUUACAAUGGUUGUGUGAUUUUAUAUUGAACCGAAGCAAGUAAUCUAUGGUUUGUUGGUGGAAGGAAAUAAGUAUUAUGGAAGGUUGUGCUGAGAGUCUUAGAAGAUGAGAAAAGGUGUUGGGAGGUGAAACUUCAUGAAGAAAAGAAGAACAUCAAAACUUAUUCAUAACGGUGGUGAGAUGAUAUUUUACAUGAAGCAGAAUUUUGUUAUGGUGUUGGUAUAAUAUGUACAUGAAUAAUGGUGGGAUGAAAAGAGAUAAAAGGUUUUUUCGUGUGCAGUAAUGAAUUAGAAAAGGGUUAGUGAGGUAACGUUGAGGAGGGGAGUAUUUGUCUGAGUAAAAAAAAUUGAAUGUGAAGAUGAUGAUGGAUGUGAAACCAGAGGGAGGACGAGGCUGAGAACCUAAAAAACAAACUUUUUUUUUGUUUUUUUGCAAUCUUUUGAAAUGAAUGAGAGAGGAUCAAAGUGAGUUGAGAGGCGCGGCGCUAUCGGUCCCCCUUCUUGUUCAUGCAUUGGCCCCUUAUAUAGGAUGACAACUAGGGUUUUUAUAAAUAAUAAAAGUCUAAAGUCCCCUUUGAAUAUUUGUUUAAGAGACUAAAAUAAAUAAAACUAAAUGAACUAAAAUAAAAAUAAAAACACAGAAAAAAACAUAACUAAUCCUAUUUAAAUAUUUUGAACAUUUUAUCGUAAAAAUAAAAAUUGAAAGACUCAAAAUGAAUAAAAGUCACACGCAAAAUUGCUCAAAAAAUUAAAUUGAAUGUAUCAAAAUCAUCAACACAAAAUAAACUUCCCGAAAACAUACCGGUUUUGAUCAAAUUUUGAAAUAAAAGUGAUCGGCUAAAAGGCUCAAGCUGAUUACAAUGCGAUAGAAAAAGUAGUAAAUGAAUGUAUCAAAAUCAUCAACACAAAAUAAACUUCCCGAAAACAUACCGGUUUUGAUCAAAUUUUGAAAUAAAAGUGAUCGGCUAAAAGGCUCAAGCUGAUUACAAUGCGAUAGAAAAAGUAGUAAAAAAAAAUGAGCACGUCAGGUUAAACUACGCGAACAGUAGAUUAAUAGAAUUUAUGUAUUCAUGUUCAAUUUUGAAAUAUUCGUCAAUUUAUUUCACGUGCAUUUGAGAAUUAGUUUGAUCGAUCUGUCUGUAAAUCUGAAAGUUUAAUCUAAUUGUCAUUUUGGGCACUAUUAGGGAUGAAAUGCAUGUUAUGCUAUGUGGAUGAUACGAAUGUCACGACGUAUGUAUCGAUUCAAUGAUUCAGGGUCAAAAUUGGGGUAUGACACAUUGAGGUUGCUGUUUAACAAGACAAUAAUUGUGCAAUUAUAAAAAGUAACGAUAGAGGGAGGGGUUUGAGUUUGAAUGCGAUAAAAUAAAAGUUGUUCUGAAUUAAUAAGAAAGCAAUCAGAUUUUGUAUAGGAUCCCUUAUUUCUCCCCCGUUGAUGUCUAAUGCAUUACAUGAAAGUUUGAAUGCGAUAAAAUAAAAGUUGUUCUGAAUUAAUAAGAAAGCAAUCAGAUUUUGUAUAGGAUCCCUUAUUUCUCCCCCGUUGAUGUCUAAUGCAUUACAUGAAUGAGAAUUUUAUUAUAUUUUUACGACGAAUUAACCCAACCACUAUACUCAAUUCCUUGGUGUAUAACUCACUAAUUACCACUCGGUGUCUUUUUUCCCUAUUCAACCAUCGUAAGUGAAAUUAAGCGAUGCACAAAACGUUAACUCAACUGCCACUACUCGGGGCCUCCUAUCCCCAUUCAACCAGCAUAAUCAUAUCAAUUUCCCUAGUUCCAACAUAUAUACUAAUAGUCAGUUUUCCCUAUGUGCCCAAGAUCAUAUUAAAAGAGUAUCUCAUAUAAAAAGCAUUAAUCAAAAUAAGCAAUCAAAUACAUAUUAUCGCUCAUCUGCACUUAGCCAACCAACAAACAAAUGACCUUAUAAUAUAUCAAGUAAAUUGUGGUUGUGAGGUCCAUAUUUUACUUCAAUCUUCCAUCCAGAACCAUCUUUCGAAGGUGUUGACUUGAUUUUGAAUGAACAACCAUAUUUCUUAGUAGUACUUUGUGUUGUAUUAUCCACUUCCUUGUAUUUUCCAUCUUUAUCACAACUAAAUAUUACUUUAUGACUUCUCUUUCUCUUACUUGUUUGAGUAUCUGAACGAGUUAUGGUAACAAUCAUUUUAUGUUUGAUUCCAACCUCCUUAAUGCAUCUUGUCACCUCUUUUUGUGUAUAAAAUUUAUGUGAAUUUGAGAAUGCAUCCGUAGUAUCUACACAUAUUUGAUUUUUUUAAUCAAAUAUCAUAAAAGAGAUCUCCAUAUUUGUGAAACAUAAAAAAAAGUUGAAAAAUGUAUAUGAGAUUACUUAGAGUCAAGUUAUUUGAUGCAUAAAAUGACAUGUACCAAAAAAUUAUAUCCAAGUGUAAACAAGAAAUUCCAAAAGAGGAAAUUCGAAAGAUAAACCAGCUGAAAUUUCUGCAGACCUAAGACAAAGUUAAGAUGCCUUUCGAUCAAACAUUUUGGAAGAAAAAGCAACAACAUUCGACAUUGAGAAGUCCGGUAUCAGACUUGACACAUGGAGACCAGUUGAAGGCUAGUCAGGCAUGCAAAUAUGACAUGGAGACCAAUUGAAGGCUAGUCAAAUUUUAAAUUGAAGUAAUUGUCUUUUGCCUACCACUUUUACAUUUAUACGAAUAAAUCCUGUUUCUAUUUAAGUUAUUCUUUACUUAUUUUCUUUACCAUCCAAGUAUUUAGUUUCGACCCAGUCGAAAUCAUUUAGUUCAUUUACUUUCAAAACUUGAUUGCUUUACUAAGAUAAUCAACAUUCAUUACAAACAACCCGACAACAUUAAAUUCUCUUUUUCCAUAAAAUUAGCACAAACUAGCCCUAUAAUUUACUAGUUUGAUCCUUCAAACAAAAAAUUUAAAACUAAGUAAUUGUUUAUCAGGAACACGAAUAAACCCCAAAUUAUUUAGUAUAGGUUAUACCAUUGAAUAAAUAUGUUAUAUGUUAUUCGGUAAACAAAACAUUAAAUCGGAAAACAUGAUAUAAACUUAUCCCAUAAAAGAAAGAUACUUACCUAAUAUCUUUUCUAAAAUUUAUCCCGGAAACUAGUGUAGGAUUCAAAUUCAUCAUUUUUGAAAAACUAAAAUAAAAUGGUAAAGUAGUUGAUAUGUUAAAAAAAAAAGAUAAAAUGAGAAUAUUUUAAAAGUUGUAGGGGGAGGAAUAAAUUUAAGUGUAUGGGAUAAUUUUUUUAAAAUAUGUCUGUAUCCAAAUUUAUUCACAUUUUUCUCUCGUAGUCCAAUAAAUGUAAUAUAUUCCGUGAACAAAUCUAUGUCUAAUGGAUAGUUUUUUUACCACCGUAUGCAACAUUUUCAAUAAAAUAUCCAAACUAACCAAUUUUUUAACUAAAAUUUUAAUAUACUUCACUUAAAAAAAAGGACGUACUAAAGCAAUUGUCGCUUGUUCCUAAUUUCAAUACGGCGAGGCAAUUGUAGGAAGUGACAUAUUUUUAUAACACAUAUUUUAAUUUUCUGCAGAAAUAUAUUCUUACAGAAGGAAAAUUAUUACUAAGAAAACAUCUGCAAAUUUUAAUGAAAUCCAUAUUUUUCAAAAUAUAUAUUUGGAAUUUUUGCAGGAAAUGUCGUAGAAAAUAAUUUCGCAGAAAACUAAAGUAUCCACAUUAACAAGUUGCAAUCAAAUAACAUUACAUGAUUUUGAGUGUACACCAAUGUAACUAAGAAUCACAAUAGCAGAAAAAAAUGCAUUCAAUCAUUAGAAAAUUGUACUAAGUAGACAGGAUCUACAAUUUCCAUUAUAUUUACAAUAACAGGGACAUUGUGUUAUUGUUAGAGGGUGAGAUGAUGAAACUAAAACUUAAGCAGCUUAAUAAAUCACAUGACAUCUAAAUUAAUUAAAGACAGUGCUACUAAUUCAAUCCAUGUUAUCUCAAAGCACUACCAAAGGAAAUUAAAGUGAACAAAAAAAAUUAUGUAUGAUACUUAUUCCCAACCAAUCAACAUAAUACCGAAGGGUUAUCUAAACCUAACUUAUAAUUCAUCUUAAACAAGUUCAUAAGAGGUUCCUGUUAUCAAAACAAAUUAAAUCCAAAAAAGGGUUCCCAUGUAAUUCAUCUUAAACAAGUUCAUAAGAGGUUCCUGUUAUCAAAACAAAUUAAAUCCAAAAAAGGGUUCCCAUGUAACUUAUAAUUCCUUGACAUUAAACAACAAUAUAAUUAGGUUUUUUUAAUUCAAAUCCUAGUAACUAAUACCUACACAUUAAUAUCAAAAUCUAUAGAAACUAAUACUAUUGAGUGUAUUUAAUACAAUUGUAUGUUUUAUCUGUACUUAAUUUAAUCGACCGGUUCAAACAGGUUGAACUUGUUGCAAUGUAGAGCAUGAUAUGUUUUAAAACCAAUUUAGAUCCAAAGACAAAAAAAAAUUACACCAGAAAAUAGAAACCAUAGUUUAAACCUCAAACUCAUACAGUAAGACUCACUGAAAACAACACCUACCUUAUAAAAUGAGUUAAAAACCUGAAGCAUCAACAAUUGUAAAAUAAAAUUUAGUAGUAUGUUGUCAACAAGUGAUCAUAUUUGCAGGAUAUAUCUAACUAUAUCCUUUUCCUGGUUAGUCUUAUGGGUGAAUCAAAUUCAAGUUUUAUAAUUAACUCUAACCAAAAAAUGACAAUGAAAUCCUAAUGAAUAUUUGGCCUACUCAUAUCAACGCUAAUUGUUAAAACAAAAACUAUUAUAUAAACUACGAAAAUAAUUGCUACUAGUACCAUUGUUCUUGUAUCCUUUCAUAGCUUCACCUUCGUUUGAAUUAAGUGCAGAGAUACUGCAUGAACAUCAUUAAACGUGUUCAAUUCAGAUUCACCAGUUCUUGAAAUCCUUUCAUAGCUUCAUCUUUCAACUAGUGUUGCUAACAGUGAAUUGCCAAAAUAUCAGUUUGAUCAAAUCUUACUACUACACAACGGUGAUACAGUGCUGAUAUAGCCACUACUUGAAAACAUAGUGUAAUACAUAGUGUUCCAUAUUUCAAAUUUUGUUUGUAAAUUAAGCAUAAUUAAGAAACAUUGAACGAUAAAUCUGAUCCACUUAACCAUUUCAAAGAUUCUAUUACCGCAUAUAAACCUCAUCAUCAAUUGCCCUAAAUCUGUAAACUGCAUGCAACUGUAUCCAAUACAUAUCAUAUCUUCAUAUAGCCAAAAAUGGAUAACUUAUAAUAUACUUUCUUAUUUUAAAACUAACAAAAUAAAUACUAAUUUACAGUAAUGCUCCAACAUAGAUAAAUAUAUAAUAAUAGGUUACUAUUGCGUAGAUGUUCAACUUCCAUUACACAUUCAAAAUCCAGAAAACACAACAAUCAAAAAAGCAACAAACCAAAACAAACAAACUACUUAGUAGGCAUGAUUAAAUAUAAAAAAAACCAAGUUGAACAAUCUCUGCAGCAUCACUCAAUUCUCUCAGCUUUCAUCAUCAUCUGAAGAAGGUAACCUGUUCAAAUCAAAUUUUCUUAUCCCUUCUUCAUUUUCAUCAUCAGCCGCUUCAAGUGGUGCUGGUUCAUUUCUCCUAUUCCCACUAUGUGUUGGUGGAAGUGGUGGUCCAAGUGCUGCUGCGGACCCUGCUGGUUGGCUUCUCUUUUUUCCUCCACUGCCGCCGCCGGCAGAAGGCCCUUCCUCUGCUACAAGGGAGCGAUUCAAAUCAACAACAAGUCCUCUAACAACAUGUUGCACUUCUUCAUCCACCUGAUUACCACCAUCACAUGAAAACAAUCAACCACAUAAGAAAAACCACAUUCAUAUAAAUGUUCAAUUAAUCCAACAAUCACAUAAACAUAACAAAAAAUAGUUUUAUAAUAAUCUUAAACAUACUUUCAAUUAAAUAUUUAUUAUAAAACUAUAAUCUUAAACAUACUUUCAAUUAAAUAUUUAUUAUAAAACUAUAUUUAGUAUAAAGUCAUAUAUGUAUAUGUAUACAUAUACCCUCAGCCGCAGACAAUUGUGGUGGUUCAAAAGUAGGUGGCGGAAAGAAUCCACGGUGCAGGCGUUCGGGGUGUUUUCGCAUGUGUCCAAAUGCUGCCUUCCCUGUCGCAAACUGUCUUCUACAUUCUGGACAAGUUGGAGUUCCUUGAGGAGGGUUUCUAACUUGAUUACUUUUUCUUUUCUUCGAGCCCUUACCACUACCACCAGCACCACCACCACUUCCCAUCACAGGCACAUUUGCACAGUCCGCAGUAACGACGAUCACCAGAGGCCUAGAGGCAUCGCCAUCCUGGUCUCCGCCGUCUUCAUUACCACCAUCACCACUUUUAUUUCCGUAUAUUUCAUCAUCACCCGCAGUUAACUCAGCGCAAACUUCCUCAGCAGUUUUCAUGAUAACAUUUUCAGAAGAACCCUCGGCCUCAAGGAUAGGGUUUGUUUCAGUGGGGGUGUUAUCAUGUUCAGAUGGAGAGUGUGGAGGGGAAACUGGGGAAGAGUUGUUUGGGGUAGAAUUUGUGUUCUUGGAAGGGUCCAUUGCGAUGAUGAUGAUGUGAUGAUUAUAAUAAUACUAAAAGAGAAAAAUGAGUGAGAAUUGUGAUUGUGUGUGGAAAAUGUGAAGCGAAUGUGAAGUAUUUAUGUUGAUGAAAAAUGGAGGAUUAAGUUUACGUUACACUAAAUUCAUAAAACGCAACCAUUUGCGAAACGAUGCAAACAUGCAGUAUUUGAUUUUGGUGGUGUCUUUUGGGGGGAAUUCAUAAAACGCAACCAUUUGCGAAACGAUGCAAACAUGCGGUAUUUGAUUUUGGUGGUGUCUUUUGGGGGAAUUCAUAAAACGCAACCAUUUGCGAAACGAUGCAAACAUGCGGUAUUUGAUUUUGGUGGUGUCUUUUGGGGGGAAAGGUGGCUAUAUUCCAUGUAUACUAGAAAUCAAUUAAAUUUUUUAACUAACCAAAUUUUUAACUAAAAUUUUAAUAUACUUCACUUUUAAAAAAAAGGACGUACUAAAGCAAUUGUCGCUUGUUCCUAAUUUCAAUACGGCGAGGCAAUUGCAUGAAGUGGCAUGUUUUUAUAAUGCAUAUUUUAAUUUUCUGCAGAAAUAUAUUCUUACAGAAGGAAAAUUAUUACUACGAAAACUUCUACAAAUUUUAAUAAAAUCCAUAUUUUUCAAAACAUAUAUUUGGAAUUUUCGCAGGAAAUGUCGUAGAAAAUAAUUUCGCAGAAAACUAAAGUAUCCACAAUAACAAGUUGCAAUCAAAUAACAUUACAUGAUUUUGAGUGUACACCAAUGUAACUACUUAGAAUCACAAUAGCAGAAGAAAAAUGCAUUCAAUCAUUAGAAAAUUGUACUAAGUAGACAGGAUCUACAAUUUCCAUUAUAUUUACAAUAACAGGGACAUUGUGUUAUUGUUAAAGGGUGAGAUACUGAAACUAAAACUUAAGCAGCUUAAUAAAUCACAUGACAUCUAAAUUAAUUAAAGACAGUGCUACUAAUUCAAUCCAUGUUAUCUCAAAGCAGUACCAAAGGAAAUUAAAGUGAACAAAUAAAACUAUGUAUGAGACUUAUUCCCAACCAAUCAACAUAAUACCGAAGGGUUAUCUAAACCUAACUUAUAAUUCAUCUUAAACAAGUUCAUAAGAGGUUCCUGUUAUCAAAACAAAUUAAAUCCAAAAAAGGGUUCCCAUGUAAUUCAUCUUAAACAAGUUCAUAAGAGGUUCCUGUUAUCAAAACAAAUUAAAUCCAAAAAAGGGUUCCCAUGUAACUUAUAAUUCCUUGACAUUAAACAACAAUAUAAUUAGGUUUUUUUAAUUCAAACCCUAGUAACUAAUACCUACACAUUAAUAUCAAAACCUACAGAAACUAAUACUAUUGAGUGUAUUUAAUACAAUUGCGUGUUUUAUGUGUGCUUAAUUUAAUCAACCGGUUCAAACAGGUUGAACUUGUUGCAAUGUAGAACAUGGUAUGUUGUAAAACCAAUUUAGAUCCAAAGACAAAAAAAAACUUAAACCAGAAACUAGAAACCAUAGUUUAAACCUCAAACUCAUACAGUAAGACUCACUGAAAACAACACCUACCUUAUAAAAUGAGUUAAAAACCUGAAGCAUCAACAAUUGUAAAAUUAAAUUAAGUAGUAUGUUGUCAAUCAAAGUUUCAACAUGAAUGUGUUUAGUCUUAAAACACAAAUCAUAUAUGUGUGCUAACAACUUAGUAACACAAUAGAACUAGAAGAAUUUAUAUCCAAUUAAACCCAAGCCACAAAGGGACAAAAAUAAGAUCAAAGAUUCCAUUUGAUGCAAACUUCACUCAUGGGAUUGGAACCAUACAAGAUUUGAGUUAAGGAUUAUUCUAUCAUGAAAAAUAUUUAUUGACAAUGGACAUGAAACAUGACAUGAAAAUAAGGCUUCUUCUAGUUUCAAAAUCUUGGGUGAUUUUCAUGCAGAUGACAGAAGCAUUCAAGAUUUAUAAACCAAAUUUGUUUUAAACUUUUACACACACUAUAUUUUAUAAUCCUAUAUUUUUUAUAUUGUAAUGUUUGACUAUACACUCUCUUUCUUAAUUUAUACAUUUUUCACCUUAAAUUUCCAUAUUUCAAAUUUUGUUUGUAAAUUAAGAAUAAUUAAGAAACAUUGAACGAUAAAUCUGAUCCACUUAACCAUUUCAAAGUUUCUAUUACCGCAUAUAAACCUCAUCAUCAAUUGCCCUAAAUCUGCAAACUGCAUGCAACUGUAUCCAAUACAUAUCAUAUCUUCAUAGCAAAAAAUGGAUCACUUAUAAUAUACUUUCUUAUUUUAAAACUAACAAAAUAAAUACUAAUUUACAGUAAUGCUCCAACAUAGAUAAAUAUAUAAUAAUAGGUUACUAUUGCAUAGAUGUUCAACUUCCAUUACACAUUCAAAAUCCAAAAAACACAACAAUCAAAAAAAGCAACAAACCAAAACAAACAAACUACUUAGUAGGCAUGAUUAAAUAUAAAAAAACCAAGUUGAACAAUCUCUGCAGCAUCACUCAAUUCUCUCCGCUUUCAUCAUCAUCUGAAGAAGGUAACCUGUUCAAAUCAAAUUUUCUUAUCCCUUCUUCAUUU